rnacentral:lncRNA from 1 species
CUAUUCAUUAAGUGGAAGUGGAUCACCAGAAAAGUCUUCAUCCUCGUGAUCUUCACAUUGAGUAGGCUGAGGAAAAGGAGGAAGAGGUGGGAAUGGUCUUGCUGUCUUAGGGGUGGCAGUGACAAACUUCUUUGGCUCUUCCCAUGAGAAGUACUUAGGGGGCUCAGUAUUAGUGUAUGGAAAUACAUCGUAAUUUCUGAUUUUUUUUUCUCUAAAAAUGUUUCCAUAUGGUACCAAUCCUUCUUCCUCUGUUUGCUUUAGUUUCAGUGCCCGCAUCAUAGAAGUGUCCAUGUCAUAAAAGCCAAAAGCAGUCUUGAAUAAUCAAAAUCCUUAUGCCAUGUUGUCUAAUGUCAAUUUGUUUCCUGGCACAGUUUCUUCUACUAAUUCUUCCUCAUCGUCUGGCACUGGUUCAGAAGCACUCAUCUCCAACAAGUUGUCUCCUGUUAAUUCCUCUGGUGUGGCGUCUACAAGGUCUUGAAUUUCUCUGAGAAUGAGUCAAUUCCACCUGCAUUAAAAACCUGUUCAAGGCAUGGCACUGGUACAAAAAUAGACACAUAGACCAAUGAAACAGAAUAGAGAGCCCAGAAAUAAGGCCACACACCUACAACCAUCUGAUCUUUAACAAUGCUGACAAAAAAAAAAAACAAUGGGGAAAGGACUCCCUAUUCAAUAAGUGGUGCUGAGAUAACUGGCUAGCCAUAUGCAGAAGAUUCAGACUGGAUCCCUUCUUUAUAUGAUAUGUAAAAAUCAACUCAAGAUGGAUUAAAGACUUAAAUGUAAAACCCAGAACUAUCAAAACCCUGGAAGAUAACCUAGGCAAUACCAUCCUGGACAUAGGAAUGGCAAAGAUUUCAUGACGAAGAUGUCAACAGCAAUCGCAACAAAAGCAAAAAUUGACAGGCGGAUCUAAUUAAACUUAAAAGCUUCUGCACAGCAAAAGAAACUAUCAACAGACUAGACAGACAACCUACAGAAUGAGAGAAAAUAUUCACAAACUAUGCAUCUGACAAAGGUCUAAUAUCCAGCAUCUGUAAGGAACUUAAACAAAUUUACAAGAAAAAAAAACUCCAUUAAAAAGUGGGCAAAGGACAUGAACACUUAUCAAAAGAAGACAUAUGUGUAGCCAACAAGCAUAUGAAUAAAAGCUCAACAUCACUGAUCAUUAAGGAAAUGCAAAUCAAAACCACAAUGAGACAGUAUCUCACACCAGUCAGAAUGGCUAUUAUUAAAAUGUCAAAAAAUAACUGAUGCUGGCAAGGGUGGGGGGAAAAGGGAACACUUAUAUAUACACUGUUGAUGGGAGUGUAAAUUAGCUCAACCAUUGUGGAAAGCAGUAUGGUGAUUCUUCAAAGAGCUAAACAAAACUACCAUUCAACCCAAC